UAUCCUCUACCAAUAUUUUAUGCAACAUGUAUAUACCAUGUUAUGUUUGUGUGUAUUAUGUAAAUUUACCACAUGUAUGCUAGCAUGCUCAUCCUGAUAGGUGAUUUAUUCUGGCAUGUUCCUGAUUGUUUCCCCUCCCCUUCUGCCACAAGCAGAAUGACAAUUGUAAAGGUGAAGUAUCACCAGCAGCCCUCAGCUGAAGCCUGUUUGUUAAUUAAGCAGUGAACCUCUUGAGCCAAUAAAAGCUCAGUUCUGCUUUUUUUUGGAACUUCAAACCACAGAAUUGUUUUGGCACAGGUGUAAUUGCCAGCUUUAGUUGGGUUGUUUAAGAAGUUUUUGUGAGAGCUGUGACAUAUACCAAGAUGUUCGGGCAUUCACUUUGCUUUUUGCUGUUGGUUGCUGUCUGCUGUCAGGCCUAUCGAAUUGCUCGGAUAUUUCGGCCAAGAUACACUCUAAGGUCUCGGUGGCUUAGGUCACCUGGUGGCCCUGAUUCUGCUACAGAAGACUUUAGCCCAACCCAAAGUGAGGAAGCCCCAAGUCAUUAUGCACCUGUUGAGGAAUAUCUCCCGGAAUACCAAAAGAGUAUGCAGCAGGCGCAGACCAACGAGAUGAAGCUUUCCCAGGCCCCAGCUCCAGUGUGGGAGAAUCCAGUGAGGCCCUCACUCCCUGCCCAGACAAGCCGGGAGUGGGCUCCUGCUGAUGGUCCAUCAGGGUCAACCCCUGAACGCUUCGCCAGGAUCACUACGCCGUCAGGUUUUCAAACUCGCUACAUAGUGAAGUCUUUCAACUGUUUUGUGGUUGGGAAGUUGGUGUUUUCCCAGACCACCUACAUCCCCCUUGGACGUGACUUCCCCCUCAUCCCUGGUACAGCUCCUGUUCCUACCUCUCGGCAUGAAGCCCAACCUGAAGAGCCCCUCUACGGAUGGUAGUUCAAGGUUCUUUUCAUUUUUUUUUUUUUUGUGAAGGGUUAGCAUAAGUUUGAGCCCAUAAUAGCACAGACAAACGAGAUGAAGGUUUCCCAGGACCCCAGCUCCAGUGUGGGAGAAUCAAGUGAAGCCCGCGCUCCCUGCCCAGACAAGCCGGGAGUGGGCUCCUGCUGAUGGUCCAUCAGGGUUAACCCCUGAACGCUUUGUCACGAUCACUACGCCGUCAGGUUUUCAAACUCGCUACAGAGUGGUCUUUCAACCGUUUUGCGCUUGGGAAGUUGUGGUUUUCCCAGACCACCUAUUUCCCCCUUGGACGUGCCUUCCCCCGCAUCCCUGGUACAGCUCCUGUUCCUACCUCUCCGCAUGAAGCUCAAACUGAAGAGCUCCUCUACG
rnacentral:lncRNA from 1 species